rnacentral:rRNA from 1 species
GAUGAACGCUGGCGGCGUGCCUAAUACAUGCAAGUCGAGCGAACGGACGAGAAGCUUGCUUCUCUGAUGUUAGCGGCGGACGGGUGAGUAACACGUGGAUAACCUACCUAUAAGACUGGGAUAACUUCGGGAAACCGGAGCUAAUACCGGAUAAUAUUUUGAACCGCAUGGUUCAAAAGUGAAAGACGGUCUUGCUGUCACUUAUAGAUGGAUCCGCGCUGCAUUAGCUAGUUGGUAAGGUAACGGCUUACCAAGGCAACGAUGCAUAGCCGACCUGAGAGGGGGAUCGCCAACCCUGGAACUGGAACACGGUCAGGCCUCCUAGGGGAGGAGCAAGAAGGGAAUCUUCGGAAAUGGGGGAAAGCCUGAGGGACAAACGCGGGGUGAGUGAUGAAGGUCUUCGGAUCGUAAAACUCUGUUAUUAGGGAAGAACAAUUGUGUAAGUAACGGUGAACAUCUUGACGGUACCUAAUCAGAAAGCCACGGCUAACUACGUG